AUGAACGCUGGCGGCGUGCCUAAUACAUGCAAGUCGAGCGAACAGACGAGGAGCUUGCUCCUUUGACGUUAGCGGCGGACGGGUGAGUAACACGUGGAUAACCUACCUAUAAGACUGGGAUAACUUCGGGAAACCGGAGCUAAUACCGGAUAACAUGUUGAACCGCAUGGUUCAACAGUGAAAGACGGUCUUUCUUUCACUUAUAGAUGGAUCCGCGCCGCAUUAGCUAGUUGGUAAGGUAACGGCUUACCAAGGCAACGAUGCGUAGCCGACCUGAGAGGGUGAUCGGCCACACUGGAACUGAGACACGGUCCAGACUCCUACGGGAGGCAGCAGUAGGGAAUCUUCCGCAAUGGGCGAAAGCCUGACGGAGCAACGCCGCGUGAGUGAAGAAGGUCUUCGGAUCGUAAAACUCUGUUAUUAGGGAAGAACAAAUGUGUAAGUAACUAUGCACGUCUUGACGGUACCUAAUCAGAAAGCCACGGCUAACUACGUG
rnacentral:rRNA from 1 species